CCCAGCUUUGCCACUGACUGGCUGUAUGAUGUCAGACAAGUCCUUUCACCUUUCUCAGCCUUAGUUUCUCCCUCUGUCAAUUAGAACAAUCAUCUCAUACUGCUUCAUGCAUGUCAACUUCUGGAACAGGACCAGAGUGUCCCAGGAGAAAGCCAGGGCCAUAAGGAGCAGUACAGCCCUGCUCCAAUUCACCAUCGCCCUCCCUGAAUUUGAUGUGGCUGAAAAGAUUGUACUGGAGCAGUUCACGCAGAUCCUCCUGGCAGCGGGACCAGAAUGGUUGUUGCGACCUAGACCCAAGAUACCAGCUGAUGUGGUGAGCCCGAUGGAGAAUUAUAAGGCAGUCACUGAAUCUUUGAGGCCUGAAGCCAUCUAUCUCAGAGGAUUGCUUCCUGCAGACAUGUGGGCCAGAUGAAGAGGGUGGCCUCUGGAAAACUAUAUAUCUUACCCAAAUCCAUGGACAACCCACAGCUAUUGCAGAUCUUGGAGAUCUAACAUCAUGUAGACUAUAAAGCCAUGGAAAAGCCUGAUCCCAAAUGAGGCCCCUCCAUGGGCAUCCAUCUUCCCUUUGAUGAGC